rnacentral:rRNA from 1 species
UACGUAGGGGGCAAGCGUUGUCCGGAUUUACUGGGCGUAAAGAGCGUGUAGGCGGCCAAGCAGGUCCGUUGUGAAAACUGGAGGCUUAACCUCCAGACGUCGACGGAAACCGCGUGGCUAGAGUCCGGAAGAGGAGAGUGGAAUUCCUGGUGUAGCGGUGAAAUGCGCAGAUAUCAGGAAGAACACCAAUGGCGAAGGCAGCUCUCUGGGACGGUACUGACGCUGAGACGCGAAAGCGUGGGGAGCGAAGCAGG